rnacentral:misc_RNA from 1 species
UUUCCGUAGGUGAACCUGCGGAAGGAUCAUUCAUAAUAAAGUGUUUUAUGGCACUUUUUUAAAUCCAUAUCCACCUUGUGUGCAAUGUCAGGGUUGGUUUUUCUCUCGAGAGGAUCAGCCCCAAACGUCAACUAUAUCUCAACUCUUUGUCUGAAAAAUAUUAUGAAUAAAACAAUUCAAAAUACAACUUUCAACAACGGAUCUCUUGGCUCUC